rnacentral:rRNA from 1 species
UACGGAGGAUGCGAGCGUUAUCCGGAUUUAUUGGGUUUAAAGGGUGCGUAGGCGGGAUGCCAAGUCAGCGGUAAAAAUGCGGUGCUCAACGCCGUCGAGCCGUUGAAACUGGCGUUCUUGAGUGGGAGAGAAGUAUGCGGAAUGCGUGGUGUAGCGGUGAAAUGCAUAGAUAUCACGCAGAACUCCGAUUGCGAAGGCAGCGUACCGGCAUCCAACUGACGCUGAAGCACGAAAGCGUGGGGAGCAAAUAGG